rnacentral:rRNA from 1 species
GACGAACGCUGGCGGCGUGCUUAACACAUGCAAGUCGAACGGUGAAGCGAGUGCUUGCACUCGUGGAUCAGUGGCGAACGGGUGAGUAACACGUGAGUAACCUGCCCAUCACUCUGGGAUAAGCACUGGAAACGGUGUCUAAUACUGGAUACGACCAACCCUUGCAUGGGGUGUUGGUGGAAAGAUUUAUCGGUGAUGGAUGGACUCGCGGCCUAUCAGCUUGUUGGCGGGGUAAUGGCCCACCAAGGCGACGACGGGUAGCCGGCCUGAGAGGGUGACCGGCCACGCUGGGCCUGGGACACGACCCAGACUCCUCCGGGAGGCAGCAGUGGGGUAUAUUGCACAAUGGGCGGAAGCCUGGUGCAGCGACGCCGCGUGAGGGAUGACGGCCUUCGGGUUGUAUACCUCUUUCAGCAGGGAAGAAGCGAUAGUGACGGUACCUGCAGAAGAAGCACCGGCUAACUACGUG